CUGAUGCAGCGACGCCGCGUGGGGGAUGACGGCCUUCGGGUUGUAAACUCCUUUCGCUAGGGACGAAGCUUUUUGUGACGGUACCUAGAUAAGAAGCACCGGCUAACUACGUGCCAGCAGCCGCGGUAAUACGUAGGGUGCGAGCGUUGUCCGGAAUUACUGGGCGUAAAGGGCUCGUAGGUGGUUUGUCGCGUCGUCUGUGAAAUUCCGGGGCUUAACUCCGGGCGUGCAGGCGAUACGGGCAUAACUUGAGUACUGUAGGGGUAACUGGAAUUCCUGGUGUAGCGGUGAAAUGCGCAGAUAUCAGGAGGAACACCGAUGGCGAAGGCAGGUUACUGGGCAGUUACUGACGCUGAGGAGCGAAAGCAUGGGUAGCGAACAGGAUUAGAUACCCUGGUAGUCCAUGCCGUAAACGGUGGGCGCUAGGUGUGAGGGUCUUUUCACGACUUUCGUGCCGUAGCUAACGCAUUAAGCGCCCCGCCUGGGGAGUACGGCCGCAAGGCUAAAACUCAAAGGAAUUGACGGGGGCCCGCACAAGCGGCGGAGCAUGUGGAUUAAUUCGAUGCAACGCGAAGAACCUUACCUGGGCUUGACAUACACUGGAUCGCUGCAGAGAUGUAGUUUCCCUUUGUGGCUGGUGUACAGGUGGUGCAUGGUUGUCGUCAGCUCGUGUCGUGAGAUGUUGGGUUAAGUCCCGCAACGAGCGCAACCCUUGUCUUAUGUUGCCAGCAUUUGGUUGGGGACUCAUGAGAGACUGCCGGGGUCAACUCGGAGGAAGGUGGGGAUGACGUCAAAUCAUCAUGCCCCUUAUGUCCAGGGCUUCACACAUGCUACAAUGGUCGGUACAACGCGCAGCGACACUGUGAGGUGGAGCGAAUCGCUGAAAGCCGGCCUUAGUUCGGAUUGGGGUCUGCAACUCGACCCCAUGAAGUCGGAGUCGCUAGUAAUCGCAGAUCAGCAAUGCUGCGGUGAAUACGUUCCCGGGCCUUGUACACACCGCCCGUCACGUCAUGAAAGUUGGUAACACCCGAAGCCGGUGGCCCAAACUUGUUAGGGAGCCGUCGAAGGUGGGAUCGGCGAUUGGGACGAAGUCGUAACAAGGUACCCGUACCGGAAGGUGCGGGUG
rnacentral:rRNA from 1 species